AGAGUUUGAUCAUGGCUCAGGACGAACGCUGGCGGCGUGCCUAAUACAUGCAAGUCGAGCGGGCUUGCCUAGAUGAUUUUAGUGCUUGCACUAAAUGAAACUAGAUACAAGCGAGCGGCGGACGGGUGAGUAACACGUGGGUAACCUACCCAAGAGACUGGGAUAACACCUGGAAACAGAUGCUAAUACCGGAUAACAACACUAGACGCAUGUCUAGAGUUUGAAAGAUGGUUCUGCUAUCACUCUUGGAUGGACCUGCGGUGCAUUAGCUAGUUGGUAAGGUAACGGCUUACCAAGGCAAUGAUGCAUAGCCGAGUUGAGAGACUGAUCGGCCACAUUGGGACUGAGACACGGCCCAAACUCCUACGGGAGGCAGCAGUAGGGAAUCUUCCACAAUGGACGAAAGUCUGAUGGAGCAACGCCGCGUGAGUGAAGAAGGGUUUCGGCUCGUAAAGCUCUGUUGGUAGUGAAGAAAGAUAGAGGUAGUAACUGGCCUUUAUUUGACGGUAAUUACUUAGAAAGUCCCGGCUAACUACGUGCCAGCAGCCGCGGUAAUACGUAGGUGGCAAGCGUUGUCCGGAUUUAUUGGGCGUAAAGCGAGUGCAGGCGGUUCAAUAAGUCUGAUGUGAAAGCCUUCGGCUCAACCGGAGAAUUGCAUCAGAAACUGUUGAACUUGAGUGCAGAAGAGGAGAGUGGAACUCCAUGUGUAGCGGUGGAAUGCGUAGAUAUAUGGAAGAACACCAGUGGCGAAGGCGGCUCUCUGGUCUGCAACUGACGCUGAGGCUCGAAAGCAUGGGUAGCGAACAGGAUUAGAUACCCUGGUAGUCCAUGCCGUAAACGAUGAGUGCUGAGUGUUGGGAGGUUUCCGCCUCUCAGUGCUGCAGCU
rnacentral:rRNA from 1 species